UUGGGCCUUGGGGGAAAAAGGAAAAUGGAAGGGAGAGGUCAUUGUGAUGCCAGAUAACCGCGUCUACUUCCCUAAGGACAUGGCAUGGCACAUAGUCCGACACAUGCACUACACUACACACCUGGGUAAGACGGCCCUAGCAACGUUGUUGGGACGACAGAUGUACAUCGAUGGGCUCCAUAGCUUAACGGCAGCGGCUGCACGCAGGUGCUGGACCUGCGCCAAGAAUAACCCUCGAGAAGGACCCUUAAAGCCCCCAGGAGUUCAACAUGUGACGAAGUGCUCAUUAAGGAGUGGAAGAUUGACCCGCUUGGACCAAAGUGGAGAGGACCCUAUACUGUGCUGUUAUCAACCCCUACCGCCAUCAAAGUGAAGGAAGUCAAACCUUGGAUACACUACACCCGUGCCAAGUUGGCGCCCCCUGUGUGGAAAGUGGAAAAAGCGGAUCAGAGUGACCUGAGACUCAGGAUCGUCCGGCAACCCCCUACGGGGUCAACAAGGCCAUGAAGCUGACCCCAUCGGGUACAACAGAACGUCGAAGGUCAAGUAUGUCGCAGUGUGGCCCAACAAAAGCACUAUCCUGGAAGUGGUGGAAAGACAUUAUGAUGGGAAGGGGAGGAGGAGGCACCAGAAAACCAACAGGAGUUCGGACAAUAUUUGGGUUCCUAAUGCUCAUAAAUAUGAUCACUGUGAUACAGGGAAAUUGGCUAAAA